rnacentral:rRNA from 1 species
CCUACGGGGGGCUGCAGUGAGGAAUUUUGCGCAAUGGGGGAAACCCUGACGCAGCAACGCCGCGUGAGUGAUGAAGGCCUUCGGGUCGUAAAGCUCUGUCAAGUGGGAAGAACCUGCCCUGUGCUAAUAUCACCGGGCACUGACGGUACCACUGAAGGAAGCACCGGCUAACUCCGUGCCAGCAGCCGCGGUAACACGGGGGGUGCAAGCGUUAUUCGGAAUCACUGGGCGUAAAGAGCGCGUAGGCGGUCUCUUAAGUCAGAUGUGAAAGCCCGGGGCUCAACCCCGGAAGUGCAUUUGAAACGAAGGGACUUGAGUAUGGGAGAGGGAAGUGGAAUUCCUGGUGUAGCGGUGAAAUGCGUAGAUAUCAGGAGGAACACCGGUGGCGAUGGCGACUUCCUGGACCAAUACUGACGCUGAGGCGCGAAGGCGUGGGGAGCAAACAGGAUUAGAUACCCGUGUAGUC